rnacentral:rRNA from 1 species
UGGGGAAUAUUGGACAAUGGGCGCAAGCCUGAUCCAGCAAUGCCGCGUGUGUGAAGAAGGCCUUCGGGUUGUAAAGCACUUUUAUCAGGAGCGAAACGCUGUCGGCUAAUACCCGGCGGAACUGACGGUACCUGAGGAAUAAGCACCGGCUAACUUCGUGCCAGCAGCCGCGGUAAUACGAAGGGUGCAAGCGUUAAUCGGAAUUACUGGGCGUAAAGCGUGCGUAGGCGGUUUCUUAAGUCUGCUGUGAAAUCCCCGGGCUCAACCUGGGAAUGGCAGUGGAUACUGGGAGGCUAGAGUGUGUCAGAGGGUGGUGGAGUUCCCGGUGUAGCGGUGAAAUGCGUAGAGAUCGGGAGGAACAUCAGUGGCGAAGGCGGCCACCUGGGACAACACUGACGCUGAGGCACGAAAGCGUGGGGAGCAAACAGGAUUAGAUACCCUGGUAGUCCAUGCCGUAAACGUUGGGCACUAGGUGUGGGG